GAUGAACGCUGGCGGCGUGCCUAACACAUGCAAGUCGAGCGAAAAGACGAGGAGCUUGCUCCUCUCACGUUAGCGGCGGACGGGUGAGUAACACGUGGAUAACCUACCUAUAAGACUGGGAUAACUUCGGGAAACCGGAGCUAAUACCGGAUAAUAUAUUGAACCGCAUGGGUCAUUAGUGAAAGACGGCUUUGCUGUAUCUUAUAGAUGCAUCCGAGCUGCAUUAGCUGGUUGGUAAGGUAAAGGCUUACCAAGGCAACGCUGCGUAGCCGACCUACGAGGGUGAUCGGCCACACUGGAGCUGGGACACGGUCCAGACGCCUACGGGAGGCAGCAGUAGGGAAUCUUCCGCAAUGGGCGAAAGCCUGACGGAGCAGCGCCACGUGAGUUAUGAAGAUCUUCGGAGCGUAAAGCUCUGUUAUUAGUUAAGAACAAAUGUGUAAGUAGCUGUGCACGUCUUGACGGUACCUGGUCAGAAAGCCACGGCUAACUACGUG
rnacentral:rRNA from 1 species